GCCGGGGUGGCCGAACGGUUCAGGCGGCUGCCUGCAGAGCAGCUAUAUAUGGGUUCAAUUCCCAUCCCCGGCU
rnacentral:tRNA from 1 species